UAGGGAAUCUUCGGCAAUGGACGAAAGUCUGACCGAGCAACGCCGCGUGAGUGAAGAAGGUUUUCGGAUCGUAAAACUCUGUUGGUAGAGAAGAACGUUGGUGAGNGUGGAAAGCUCAUCAAGUGACGGUAACUACCCAGAAAGGGACGGCUAACUACGUGCCAA
rnacentral:rRNA from 1 species